rnacentral:rRNA from 1 species
AUUGAACGCUGGCGGCAUGCUUUACACAUGCAAGUCGAACGGUAACAGGUUAAGCUGACGAGUGGCGAACGGGUGAGUAAUGCAUCGGAACGUGCCCGAUCGUGGGGGAUAACGCAGCGAAAGCUGCGCUAAUACCGCAUACGAUCUGAGGAUGAAAGCGGGGGACCGUAAGGCCUCGCGCGAUCGGAGCGGCCGAUGUCAGAUUAGGUAGUUAGUGGGGUAAAGGCUCACCAAGCCGACGAUCUGUAGCUGGUCUGAGAGGACGACCAGCCACACUUGGACUGAGACACGGCCCAGACUCCUACGGGAGGCAGCAGUGGGGAAUUUUGGACAAUGGGCGAAAGCCUGAUCCAGCAAUGCCGCGUGCAGGAAGAAGGCCUUCGGGUUGUAAACUGCUUUUGUACGGAGCGAAAAGGCUCUCUCUAAUACAGGGGGCUCAUGACGGUACCGUAAGAAUAAGCACCGGCUAACUACGUGCCAGCCGCCGCGGUAACAC